rnacentral:misc_RNA from 1 species
GAUGAAGAACGCAGUGAAAUGCGAUAAUUAAUGUGAAUUGCAGAAUUCAGUGAAUCAUCGAGUCUUUGAACGCACAUUGCGCCCCCUGGUAUUCCGGGGGGCAUGCCUGUCCGAGCGUCAUUGCUGCCCUCAAGCACGGCUUGUGUGUUGGGCUUCCGUCCCCGGCAACGGGGACGGGCCCAAAAGGCAGUGGCGGCACCAUGUCUGGUCCUCGAGCGUAUGGGGCUUUGUCACCCGCUCCCGUAGGUCCAGCUGGCAGCUAGCCUCGCAACCAAUCUUUUUAACCAGGUUGACCUCGGAUCAGGUAGGGAUACCCGCUGAACUUAAGCAUAUCAAUAAGCGGAGGAA